ensembl:lncRNA
UCAAAAAGUCAAUUUUAAUUGGGGGGGGAGGAUAAAUAACAUUUUGCGGUACACCUGAAGCUAACACAACAUUGUAAAUGAACUAUACUCCAAUAUAAAAUAAAAAUUAAAUCAAAAUGUCAAUUUUACCAUUUAAGAAUCAAAGUGAGACAUACAAGAUAUUUUUAAAACAUAUGUUUCAGGCAGUGUUUACGCGCGCCGGGGUUUUCUUGGCACGCGUUCUCCCGUGGGCGAGGGCACUGCGGCACAGGAGGCACGCCAGGGCCUCCUGGCGCGCGCGCCCGGGAGCUGAUCGCGUGUCCUGCGGUCCCUCCCGGGAGGGUCAGAGGCGUGACAGACACUUGCAGCCCAAGGCGAGGGAGGCGUCCUCGUACACUCUCCGCUCAGGAAAAGCCAACGCGCUCCGGGGGCGUUGGGAGACGCGGGCUCGGCGCAGAGGCGCCGCGAGACUCCGCAGACCCUCCUGAGCCCCCGCCUGGCUCCCGGAGGCCUCGCGGCCCGCUUCCCGCAGCAGCCGCGGCCCUUUCCGCUCGCCUUCCAGGGCCGGCCAAACCCCAGCCUCGUCCCGAAGGCCGCCCCGCAGCUGCUCCCCUCCCCACCUGCUCCCCUGCAAGCCGCCAGCGCCCCCCCACCCCCCGGCGGAAACCAGAAUUUGAGGUUGGGGGUAUCAGUGGCGGCCGACUCUGCUCCCCACCCCUGGUCCGCCCGGCGGCUGAGCCCCAGACGCUUCUGGGGCUCGAGGGCUGGGAGCGCCGUGGGCAUCCGCGCAGGUCGGAGCUGCAGGGGCCGCUCGCCCAAUGCGCCAGGUGCCACUUCCCGUUGGAGAGGCAGGUGCACCCACCCGGUGAGCUGCGUCACCCCAGCGCCUCUUUCCCAACGGCUGGGCACACGCCCUCCCCAGGGGUCACGGCUGCGCACACGCCCUAGGGCCAGACGGGCCCUCAGUAUCCCUACCCCACAGCAGUCAUGAGUCCCUGGCGUCUCCCAGGUCCCACCUCCCCUUGGUCCGCGCUCACUGGACGGUCCUCGCACCUCGCAGCCUGCCGCUAUCCCGAGGCUGUGUCAAUGGCGCCCAGGGAAGCGUGGAAAAAUAUGUUUAAACGUGCAAAUGAAGAGUUUUAGAAAAAAAAGGGUCAGUCGUUUCAACGUAGUAAGCAACCAUUUUAAAAGAAUUAAAAUCAUCAAAAUCUUACUGGAAGCUGUACUCAUGAAGGUUCUUCAGGAACCACCGCCCUUCACGUUCGGACCAGAAGAGGGGGAAGGGGGCACCUGUUGCUGGGGGCUGGCGGCGUGGGUGCACACCUGCCUCCAGAGAUGCCCUCGAACCGUGGGCACUGCUGUCCGGAGGCCCCGCUGCCAGGACUCAGCGCCCAGCCCUGCUUGCCCAGCUGCCCCCCUUCCUCUGGCGACUCCAGCUGUACACCCAAACCCUGGCCUCGGCUUGACCUCCGGGCGCAGAGAGCGGGCAAAGACAAGCCGCUCCACACUCCUCACUGCAGAACCCAGCUCACAACAGCAGCCCACUCCCUCUACACAAGUUACCAUUAGGACGCCCCUCGAACCACCAAGAACAUUGAAUCCUAACAACUUCGAGGUAUCACCCAUUUCUUUGGUCAUACUGGGGACCACCUUGCUCUAAGUGGCACCCCCCCCACACACACACACUUCCUGUUUGCUUUCUCGGCCUCCGCCUUCUCACACUGGGCAUUCACGUAAGUGACAGUUUCAGCUGUUUGUGAGCUGUCUUCCCCAGGCAGAGGUCAGCUCCAGGUAGGUGACUGAUGGCUCUGUUUGCCCGGGCUUUAGGGCUGAGAAUCCUGACCUGGGGCCACGCAGUUCAGGGCAGAGCAGAUGUGGUCCGCGGCCCCAGGGCCGGUGUGUGCUCCUAGUGCUGGGAGAGGGCAGCGCCCAGUGGGUGCUCAGGGACUGCUAGGGGGAUGAGGGGAUGAAUGGGUGAGGCACACGAACCCAGUUAACCUGUGAGCUCUGGGGGGUGGGGGGGGUGCGGGUGGGGAGGGAACCCAUCAUCCCUUGCUCUGGGGCCUGAGCACAUUGGUACUCUCCUGCAGAGGUGUGGCCAGGCUGGGGAGGGGAGGCCCUGCUGAAGGAGCGGCCUCUCACUGGCCACGGCAGUGGGCCAUGUGGGCACCCGGGCCAUGGGGCUCCAGGUGCGCAUGGAAGGCCCAGCUCAGAGCCCUGCGCUGAGUGCCCACCACCACGCGGGGGCAGCAUAUACUGGACAGCGGGGCAGCUGGGACCCUGGAGCACCCCUCCCCACCCCAGCCCUGUGGCCAGGCAGGUCCUUAGUCCUGGAGAGGACAGCAGUUGUUCCCCUUGUCUGGGCUUCCGGUUCCCCACUGUGGGAUCCCAGGGCUGCUGUGAAGUCCUGGGGGAGCCUGCAUCUGGUCAGUUCGCAGCACCCACCUCCCCCACCCCCUCCAGGAGGUCAAGGAUUCCUUCUGAGGGAGGCCCUGGAUCAGGGCUGCAGUCUCUGUGCACAGGCAGGGACCCCGAGAUGGGCCAGGCGUGAGAAGCCGGAACUUGUGGCGUGGGGACCUUGGUCCCCACCUCCCUCUGUGCCUUGAUGGGGAGGGGGCACUUGGGGCGGACAGGGGUCUCCAGAGUACCGCAGGAGUACUCGCGUGAGCCCAGAGCACAGCCCGCUGGGGGCCAGGCCUGGCCGAAGUGGGGGGACAGGACCCGGGGGCUGGGGGCGAGACAGCCCCUCUCAAAUCGCAGGCAGGGGUCCAGCUGCAGUCACUGGACCCCCCCCCCCACCCUGCCUCACGGGGGACACGCGGCCCUGUGGUCCCCCAGUCCCCACUAGUGCUCCCUGGCCCUGCCAACCCCUUCCCUGUCCUCAAGGGAAGCGGCGAGCCAGGCAGACAAGAGUUUCUCAGCGAGGGGGCAUGUGGGCUCCACCGACCCCUCUCGUCGGCUCGGGGCAGCAGCUUCCACUAAGGGAGCGAUGGCGAGACGUCCAGGGGCCUGUGUCCGGCUAACGAGGCACAGCCCAGGCCGGGCCUGGAGGUAGGUGUGCAUGCGCAGACGCAGCCCAACGUAGGCCCAGGGGCGGGGCCAGCCCCGGCGUGCCCGCGUGUGCCCCGCGUUAGAUGAAAGUGACGCCAGACAGCAGUCCAGCAGGGGCGGCCCGGUGGUCCUUGUGAGCUGGCAGGAGGGUCCCGUGAGGGCAGGCCCAGCCGGCCGACUGCUGGGCGACCACUGGCCUGGGACACAGAAAUGACGCUGGCAGGCCAAGGGCGGCUUGUGGCUCUUGAGCACAGGUGGCGCGUGCUGACCUCAGGGGGUGCGAAAUGUCUGAGAAUGGCUCAUCCUGGCAGCUGGCCCCUGAGGCCAACGGAGUGGCCGUCCCUCACCGCGCUGUCCUGGCUAGGGGCCUGGGGAGUGGAAGGUGGUCCAGCUCUGGGGGCGAGGAUGCAGGGUGGGUGCUCGGGUGGUGGGUGCUCAGGUUCUUAGCAGAGUCUUUGAAGGGUGGGGGCCGGUGAAGGCCUAUUCUGGGCCCCAGAGGGCACUCAGGAUGUGGACCCCAGCCCAUGUGUGGGUGACCUGGCCCCCCAGACCUGGUCAGUUCCAGGAAGGGUGGGGUCACACCCUGUACUCCAGAGAACCUCGUGCUCAGGGCCAGGGAUGCUGGCCCUGACCCCAGGUGGUCCAGAGGGAGCCUGGACCAGACUGAGACAGGCGCGUCAGGGGCUGGGCCAUCUGGGGAAGGGGCUGCCCAUGGAGCCGUUCUGUUGGCCCCACUCAGGGUUCAGGAGGGGCUGGAGGUCCUUCGUCUGACCCAAAGUCCCGACAUCGUCCAAAGGCCCGAGUAGCUGCAGGCCUUUGGAGACCCGAGAGGUACACAGGCCCCUAGUCUGGGGCCAGAUGAGGACCCCCAGUGCAUGCCCUGAGGCCUAGCCUUCGUGACAGAGGCCUGGGGUGUCCGGACAUGGGCUGGCCCCUUGCUGCAUCCCCACAGUCGGACCUGGCACCCGUGUCUUCUUGGUGAGACACUUGGCCUCAGGCUGCUGUCUCCUGGGUGGCAGCUGGGGAGAGAGGAAUGGGGGGCUGGCUCAGGCAGCCUUGUGUGGGGGCAUAGACACCCCCUCCCCCAACCAUCUGGUGACUCAGAGGGUAAAGAGUCCACCUGCAAUGCAGGAGACCUGGGUUCGAUCCCUGGGUCAGGAAGAUCCCCUGGAGAAGGGAAUGACAGCCCACUCCAGUAUCCUGGCCUGGAGAAUCCCAUGGACAGAGGAGCCUGGCAUGCGGCAGUCCGUGGGGUCGCAAAGAGUCAGACACGACCGAGCGACUAAACGCUUUAACGUUCACUUUUCACAUACCCCCAGCCCACCUCUGACUAUGAGGUGGAAAGAAGGAGAGGGAGAUGAGACCCCACCCUCUCAGGGUUCCUUGCCCAGUCCUGCCAAGCCAGUGCCCGGUCAGCAGGCAAACGUCCAUCUUCAGGGGAGUUUACCCUGACCCCAGGAGCAGUAUCCUCCCAGGUUCCCCGACUCCAGCUGGGCCCAGGUGCUCUCACCGUUCACAGGACCCUGGGACUCACCCAGCGUGGCACUGGGGCUCCAGUCAUGGCCCCAGGCCACCCACCAUGCCAUCUGACUGGCAAAUAUUGGAGCCCCGGUCCAGACACAAGGCUCUUAGGGGUGACCAUCGCCCCUUCGACCUGCUGGGGUGGGGAGGUGGGGGGGUG